AUCUUUGCGCGUGGGGCAAUGACGCAGUUAGUGAGGUGAAACCGAGAGACGCGUCAAUUGCUGGUUGAAAACUAUUUCCAAACUAUUUGCAUACUACGAGUUCGUUUUAGUGCAAUUUCUUCUUUUCUCCCUUACAAAAG
rnacentral:snRNA from 1 species